rnacentral:pre_miRNA from 1 species
ACAACAACAUUUUGACCGUCGAUCUACCGAGCAAUAUCACCCGCUCGGUGGAAGAUCUUCCCUUUGUCGUAUACC